GGCCUCUUUAAUUUUUGCGUAUGUACAAAUUUUACUUAUAUUUAAAAACCCUUGUACGCAGCACACGUUAAUUAUUCUGUUUUUUACACAAUAUUUAUUUUAGUUAGGUAUUACUUAUUAUACAUUAUGGUUAAUUUGUUUUUUUUAAAUGUCCCGUGUUUUUUUUUUCUUUGUAUGGUCACCGAGUUUUAUAGGCCGCUGUUGUAGGUGGGAAACUAAUAUACAGGCAAUGCCGGACGGUUUAAUUUGUAUUUACGGAAACUUUCAGUGUCAGGAAACAGCGAUAAAUCGUUGCGAU